GACGUAGGGGGCGAGCGUUGUCCGGAUUUAUUGGGCGUAAAGCGUGCGUAGGCGGCUGCGCAAGUCGGGUGUGAAACCCCGGGGCUCAACCCCGGAACUGCAUCCGAUACUGCGUGGCUAGAGGUAGGUAGGGGAGAUCGGAAUUCCUGGUGUAGCGGUGAAAUGCGUAGAUACCAGGAGGGACACCGGUGGCGAAAGCGGUUUCCUGGCCGAGUACUGACGCUGAGGCACGAAAGCGUGGGGAGCGAACGGG
rnacentral:rRNA from 1 species